ACUCGGCGAAAUUGCAGUGUGAGUAAAGAUGCUCACUACCUGCGACAGGACGGAAAGACCCCGGAACCUUUACUGCAACUUGGCAUUGGAGUCUGACAUGUGAUGUGUAGGAUAGGUGGGAGGCUUUGAAGCGCUGGCGCUAGCCGGCGUGGAGCCAACCUUGAAAUACCACCCUUCACAUAGCGGGCUUCUAACCUCGGUCCGUGAUCCGGAUCAGGAACAGUGCCUGGUGGGCAGUUUCACUGGGGCGGUGGCCUCCCAAAGCGUAACGGAGGCGCCCAAAGGUUCCCUCAGUCUGGUCGGCAAUCAGACGUUGAGUGUAAAGGCACAAGGGAGCUUGACUGCGAGACCUACAAGUCGAGCAGGUACGAAAGUAGGGCUUAGUGAACCCACGGUGGCGCGUGGAAGCGCCGUGGUUCAUCGGCUAAAAGGUACUCCGGGGAUAACAGGCUUAUACCCCCCAAGAGUCCAUAUCGACGGGGGUGUUUGGCACCUCGAUGUCGGCUCGUCGCAUCCUGGGGCUGGAGCAGGUCCCAAGGGUCGGGCUGUUCGCCCGUUAAAGCGGCACGCGAGCUGGGUUUAGAACGUCGUGAGACAGUUCGGUCCCUAUCCGUCGCAGGCGCAGGAGGUUUGAGAGGAGCUGUCCCUAGUACGAGAGGACCGGGAUGGACGCACCGCUGGUGUGCCAGUUGUUCUGCCAAGAGCAUGGCUGGUUAGCUACGUGCGGAAGGGAUAAGCGCUGAAGGCAUCUAAGUGCGAAGCCCACCUCGAGAUGAGACCUCCCACCGGAUCAACCGGGUAAGGCCCCUGGUAGAAGACCAGGUUGAUAGGCCGGAAGUGUAAGCACAGCAAUGUGUUCAGCUGACCGGUACUAAUCGGCCGAGGGCUUGGAUUU
rnacentral:rRNA from 1 species